rnacentral:rRNA from 1 species
UACGGAGGAUGCGAGCGUUAUCCGGAUUUAUUGGGUUUAAAGGGUGCGUAGGCGGCCGAGUAAGUCAGCGGUGAAAUUUUGCAGCUUAACUGUAACAGUGCCGUUGAUACUGCAUGCCUAGGAUUUGGUUGCUGUGGGUGGAAUGUGUGGUGUAGCGGUGAAAUGCUUAGAUAUCACACAGAAUAUCAAUUGCGAAGGCAGCUCACAAAGCCAAGAUUGACGCUGAGGCACGAAAGUGUGGGGAUCAAACA